rnacentral:rRNA from 1 species
UAGCUUAGUGGCGACGGGUGAGUAACGCGUGAGCAACCUGCCUUUCAGAGGGGGAUAACGUUUGGAAACGAACGCUAAUACCGCAUAAGACCACACUUCCACAUGGGAGAGGGGUCAAAGGAGCAAUCCGCUGAAAGAUGGGCUCGCGUCCGAUUAGAUAGUUGGGGGGGUAACGGGCCCACCAAGUCGACGAUCGGUAGCCGGACUGAGAGGUUGAACGGCCACAUUGGGACUGAGACACGGCCCAGACUCCUACGGGAGGCAGCAG